UUCCGGUUGAUCCCGCCGGACCCGACCGCUAUCGGGAUAAUGCUAAGCCAUGGGAGUCGAACGCCCCCGGCCACGUGGGGGCGUGGCGUACGGCUCAGUAGCACACGGCUAAUCUACCCUUGGGAGGAGUAUAACCCCGGGAAACUGGGGCUAAUACUACAUAGACGAGCAACCCUGGAAUGGGUGCUCAUCGAAAGGGCGCGGAGGCAUGCCUCUGCGUCGCCCAAGGAUGAGGCUGUGUUCCAUCAGGUAGUUGGCGAGGUAACGGCUCGCCAAGCCGAUAACGGAUGCGGGCAGUGAGAGCUGGAGCCCGGAGAUGGGCACUGAGACAAGGGCCCAGGUCCUACGGGGCGCACCAGGCGAGAAACCUUAGCAAUGCGGGAAACCGUGACUGGGCUAUCCCGAGUGCCAGCCGCUAAGGCUGGCUUUUACCCAGAGUAAAAACCUGGGGGAAUAAGCGGGGGGCAAGACUGGUGUCAGCCGCCGCGGUAAUACCAGC
rnacentral:rRNA from 1 species